AUUAAAACAUAAGCGAAAGCUUGACUUAGCUAUGAUGACCAGGGCCGGUUAAUUUCGUGCCAGCCACCGCGGUUAUACGAAAGACCCAAGACAACGACCCCCGGCGUAAAGCGUGGCCAAAGACAGUUAAACUUUAAUGGGGAACCCUUGCUCAGUCGUAAAACACCCCGCAUAUCGGAAACCCAUCAACAAAAUGCCCUUAAACAAAAAACUACUUGACCCACGAAAGCCAAGGAACAAACUGGGAUUAGAUACCCCACUAUGCUUGGCUGUUAACCUAAGGUAGCAUAAACACACCCCUACUCGCCAGAGAACUACAAGUGAAAAACUUAAAACUCCAAGGACUUGGCGGUGCCCCACAUCAGCCUAGAGGAGCCUGUCCUAUAAUCGAUACUCCGCGCUCUACCCAACCACCUUUUGCCCUCAGCCUAUAUACCGCCGUCGUCAACCCACCCUAUGAAAGAAGCACAGUGGGUAAAACAGUUACCAACUAGCACGUCAGGUCAAGGUGUAGCACAUAGGGUGGAAGAGAUGGGCUACAUUUUCUAUUUCAGAAAACACGAACAGCUCAAUGAAACUUGGACUAAAAGGCGGAUUUAGAAGUCAGAUAAACCAGCAUUUUUAU
rnacentral:rRNA from 1 species